rnacentral:misc_RNA from 1 species
GAUGAAGAACGUAGCGAAAUGCGAUAAGUAAUGCGAAUUGCAGAAUUCAGUGAGUCAUCGAAUCUUUGAACGCACAUUGCGCCCCUUGGUAUUCCAUGGGGCAUGCCUGUUCGAGCGUCAUUUGUACCUUCAAGCUCUGCUUGGUGUUGGGUGUUUGUCUCGCCUCUGCGUGUAGACUCGCCUCAAAAUAAUUGGCAGCCGGCGUAUUGAUUUCGGAGCGCAGUACAUCUCGCGCUUUGCACUCAUAACGACGACGUCCAAAAGUACAUUUUUACACUCUUGACCUCGGAUCAGGUAGGGAUACCCGCUGAACUUAAGCAUAUCAAUAAGCGGAGGA